CGCGGCCUAUCAGCUUGUUGGCGAGGUAACGGCUCACCAAGGCAACGACGGGUAGCUGGUCUGAGAGGAUGGCCAGCCACAUUGGGACUGAGAUACGGCCCAGACUCCUACGGGAGGCAGCAGUGGGGAAUCUUGCGCAAUGGCCUAACGGCUGACGCAGCGACGCCGCGUGUGGGAUGAAGCUCUUCGGAGUGUAAACCACUGUUGCCCGGGACGAAUAGCUCGAUUAAUCGAGCCUGACAGUACCGGGUGAGGAAGCACCGGCUAACUCCGUGCCAGCAGCCGCGGUAAUACGGGGGGUGCGAGCGUUGUCCGGAAUCACUGGGCGUAAAGGGCGCGUAGGUGGUUUGAUAAGGGUGUGGUGAAAGUCCGGGGCUCAACCCCGGAUCUGCCGUGCCGACUGUCAAACUCGAGGACUGUAGAGGCAGACGGAAUUCCGGGUGUGGCGGUGGAAUGCGUAGAGAUCCGGAGGAAGACCGGUGGCGAAGGCGGUCUGCUGGGCAGUUUCUGACACUGAGGCGCGACAGCGUGGGGAGCAAACAGGAUUAGAUACCCUGGUAGUCCACGCCGUAAACGAUGGGUACUAGGUGCCUGGGGGAGCGACCCUCUGGGUGCCGGCGCUAACGCAGGAAGUACCCCGCCUGGGGAGUACGG
rnacentral:rRNA from 1 species